rnacentral:rRNA from 1 species
GCCUUACACAUGCAAGUCGAACGGCAGCGCGGGCUUCGGCCUGGCGGCGAGUGGCGAACGGGUGAGUAAUACAUCGGAACGUGCCCUGUUGUGGGGGAUAACUAGUCGAAAGAUUAGCUAAUACCGCAUACGACCUGAGGGUGAAAGCGGGGGACCGUAAGGCCUCGCGCAAUAGGAGCGGCCGAUGUCUGAUUAGCUAGUUGGUGGGGUAAAGGCCUACCAAGGCGACGAUCAGUAGCGUGGUCUGAGAGGACGAUCAGCCACACUGGGACUGAGACACGGCCCAGACUCCUACGGGAGGCAGCAGUGGGGAAUUUGGACAAUGGGGGCAACCCAGAUCCAGCAAUGCCGCGUGUGUGAAGAAGGCCUUCGGGUUGUAAAGCACUUUUGUCCGGAAAGAAAUCGCGCUGGCUAAUACCUGGCGUGGAUGACGGUACCGGAAGAAUAAGCACCGGCUAACUAAGUGCCAGCAGCCGCGGUAAUACGUAGGGUGCGAGCGUUAAUCGGAA